UUGACCUCGGAUCAGGUAGGGAUACCCGCUGAACUUAAGCAUAUCAAUAAGCGGAGGGA
rnacentral:rRNA from 1 species